UACGGAGGGUGCAAGCGUUAUCCGGAUUCACUGGGUUUAAAGGGUGCGUAGGAGGGCAGGUAAGUCAGUGGUGAAAUCUCCGAGCUUAACUUGGAAACUGCCGUUGAUACUAUCUGUCUUGAAUCCCGUGGAGAUGAGCGGAAUAUGUCAUGUAGCGGUGAAAUGCUUAGAUAUGACAUAGAACACCAAUUGCGAAGGCAGCUCGUUACACGAAGAUUGACUCUGAGGCACGAAAGCGUGGGGAUCAAACAGG
rnacentral:rRNA from 1 species